rnacentral:rRNA from 1 species
AAAGACGGUCUUGCUGUCACUUAUAGAUGGAUCCGCGCUGCAUUAGCUAGUUGGUAAGGUAACGGCUUACCAAGGCAACGAUGCAUAGCCGACCUGAGAGGGUGAUCGGCCACACUGGAACUGAGACACGGUCCAGACUCCUACGGGAGGCAGCAGUAGGGAAUCUUCCGCAAUGGGCGAAAGCCUGACGGAGCAACGCCGCGUGAGUGAUGAAGGUCUUCGGAUCGUAAAACUCUGUUAUUAGGGAAGAACAUAUGUGUAAGUAACUGUGCACAUCUUGACGGUACCUAAUCAGAAAGCCACGGCUAACUACGUGCCAGCAGCCGCGGUAAUACGUAGGUGGCAAGCGUUAUCCGGAAUUAUUGGGCGUAAAGCGCGCGUAGGCGGUUUUUUAAGUCUGAUGUGAAAGCCCACGGCUCAACCGUGGAGGGUCAUUGGAAACUGGAAAACUUGAGUGCAGAAGAGGAAAGUGGAAUUCCAUGUGUAGCGGUGAAAUGCGCAGAGAUAUGGAGGAACACCAGUGGCGAAGGCGACUUUCUGGUCUGUAACUGACGCUGAUGUGCGAAAGCGUGGGGAUCAAACAGGAUUAGAUACCCUGGUAGUCCACGCCGUAAACGAUGAGUGCUAAGUGUUAGGGGGUUUCCGCCCCUUAGUGCUGCAGCUAAC